UACGUAGGUGGCAAGCGUUGUCCGGAAUUAUUGGGCGUAAAGCGCGCGCAGGUGGUUUCUUAAGUCUGAUGUGAAAGCCCACGGCUCAACCGUGGAGGGUCAUUGGAAACUGGGGAACUUGAGUGCAGAAGAGGAAAGUGGAAUUCCAAGUGUAGCGGUGAAAUGCGUAGAGAUUUGGAGGAACACCAGUGGCGAAGGCGAUCACCUGGGGUUGUUCUGACGCUGAGGAGCGAAAGCUAGGGGAGCAAACGGG
rnacentral:rRNA from 1 species